rnacentral:lncRNA from 1 species
GACUACUCAAUCCGCUGGUUCAUCACAUUUACUAAGAUGUCGCAAAAUGGGUAUAUAUUGUUUGAGUGUGCUCAAUUUGUCCAUUUUGAGAGCUAACUCAAUAUAAUGCUACUAGUAGUAACUAGUAACAGCCGUUUAGCUAAGCAAAAUGGAAAUAAUGGUCUUGUUGAUGGUAGUUUUAAUGAGUUAUUGGAGGGGUUGAGAUUUUGUAUUUUCGGUUCGCUGGUCAUGGAUUUGGCAUUGGAUUACUGACUUCUGAUUUUGAAGAGUGAGUUUG